rnacentral:rRNA from 1 species
UUCCCUACGGGGGGCAGCAGUGGGGGAUAUUGCACAAUGGGGGGAACCCUGAUGCAGCGACGCCGCGUGAGCGAUGGAGUACUUCGGUAUGUAAAGCUCUGUCAGCAGGGAAGAAAAUGACGGUACCUGACCAAGAAGCCCCGGCUAAAUACGUGCCAGCAGCUGCGGUAAUACGUAUGGGGCAAGCGUUAUCCGGAUUUAUUGGGUUUAAAGGGUGCGUAGGCGGGCUGUUAAGUCAGCGGUAAAAGCCCGGGGCUCAACCCCGGCGAGCCGUUGAAACUGGCUGUCUUGAGAUGUCGAGAGGG